rnacentral:piRNA from 1 species
UAAAUUAACUGACUAUGGCCUUCAAGA